rnacentral:rRNA from 1 species
AUUGAACGCUGGCGGCAGGCCUAACACAUGCAAGUCGAGCGGUAGAGAGAAGCUUGCUUCUCUUGAGAGCGGCGGACGGGUGAGUAAUGCCUAGGAAUCUGCCUGGUAGUGGGGGAUAACGUUCGGAAACGGACGCUAAUACCGCAUACGUCCUACGGGAGAAAGCAGGGGACCUUCGGGCCUUGCGCUAUCAGAUGAGCCUAGGCCGGAUUAGCUAGUUGGUGGGGUAAUGGCUCACCAAGGCGACGAUCCGUAACUGGUCUGAGAGGAUGAUCAGUCACACUGGAACUGAGACACGGUCCAGACUCCUACGGGAGGCAGCAGUGGGGAAUAUUGGACAAUGGGCGAAAGCCUGAUCCAGCCAUGCCGCGUGUGUGAAGAAGGUCUUCGGAUUGUAAAGCACUUUAAGUUGGGAGGAAGGGCAGUAAAUUAAUACUUUGCUGUUUUGACGUUACCGACAGAAUAAGCACCGGCUAACUCUGUG